CCGGCAGAUGAUAUUAUUUCUGAGGAAUUUGAGAAAUGUGUUCUGUGUAAUGUGAGCAUAUGAUGUCGCUUCGACCCAUUUAGAAAAAUAAUCGAUAGCCACCAGGAUAAAUCUAUGCCCAUUGGAUGCCUUAGGGUUGAUGGGACCAAUCACAUCGAUGCCCCACAUUGCGAAAGGCCAAGGUGAGACGAGGUUGAAUAACUUGUGAGGUGGCACAUUUAUUGGAUCCGCAUAAAUCUGACACUUAUGGCAC
rnacentral:misc_RNA from 1 species